rnacentral:lncRNA from 1 species
GCAACUUUUCCUGCUCAAUGGAAGUGUAUGCGUCAACAAUAUACUGGUGGAGUAAGCGCUUAGAAGUCACAAUAGCCAUGCCUUCAUUCAAUCUAUUUUGAAGUUGGUAAGCAAAGUAUUCUCUCUUUGUGACAUAAGACCUUUGUCGUGUGAUUCCAUCGACGUUGAUAAGUGGAAUGUUCUCGUUGAAUCAUGAUUGGCCAUAAGGAAACAAUAGAGGGUAUUGCAAAAUCAUAUAUAGAGGAUGCAUAUCACUGAUUUGUUGUAAGCCUGCUGACUUGUGUUGUACAAUGAUAUCUCUGUCUCCCAUUUCUUCUGAGAGGUCUCCAACAAUUAAACCAGCAAUCUCAUCUGUUGUAGGCAAAUCAUACUGACGACCACGUUUUGGCUGAGCAAUCAAUCUUAUACUAAACUCGGGGCAGUCACUCUGUUCAUGAAGAUCUCGAGCUUUUCUGAAAAUCUUGACGAAACGGUUGUGGGCAUCAAUAGUUUCAAUCAGGUUUUUAACAAUAUUACCAUCCAGUUCCCCUGCUUUUGUUGUCCGCUUGACGGCUGAGAUUCUAUUUUUAACCUCAUUAGCUGUAUCAAAAAUGUAGAGUUGGCUGAACUUGGGAGGUUUUCCUGAUUGAGGAACCAAUGAUCCUAUCUUGUGAGAAUUUUGCCCAUGUAUUCUAAAAGUGAAUGGUCCGGAUUUGUGCAUCACUUUUGAAUCUAUUUGGGCCCCAAUAGAAGUGAAUGUGAGGAUUGAAUUGUACGUUCGAAUAUUUUGUUGGAAGUGGAGAGAACUUGAAAGGAGUGUUUUGAGAGAUUCAGGCGGGUGAGGUUCGGGUGGGAGCUUCACACGCCCCUGUUGACAGCAUACACUAAAGAUGGGAGUUCUGUCUCUGCCUCUAGUGCUUUUCUUCUCCUGUUCCCAUACAAGCGCAUGAAAAAAAGGGCAUUCUUGAAGGUCAUUAUCUUUACUCUUGCGCUUUGAUCUUGACUCUGGUUGCUUACCCUGAGUUUUUUCUGCAGGUACAUUGAAACCGGAAUAUAGUUAGUCUAAGGUAUGGAGAUCAUUUUCCUGCACGAUCGUAUUGGAAAUGUCAUCGUUUUACAAUAUAUGAAUCAUAGUGAAACAGAAAGAUAAAAGCUGUUGUGAACGGAAGAGGUAUACUGUUUAGUUUAAUGGCUUGUCUUCUUGCGAGAACAAUGGCUUUCCUCAUUUGCCUAGCUCUUCUUUGUUCUCCUGUGACCAUUAUUGUGUUAAGAAUGUGUAUGUUACGUUUUGUGUUGUUGUUGCGGUCAAUAUAAAAUGAGAAGCAAACCUUUACGGUCUGAUAUUGCGGAGACAGAUGUGUUUAUCAACGGUGGAGGCCCUGCUAAUAUAAAUCCCAUUUUGAUUAGAUGAUAAGAAGAUGUAAAUGGGCAGCUGUAAGGAAUCGGAGUUUGAUGAUAAACCUCUCUGCUUGAAGGUAUGUUGGUUAUCUCCUUUAAAUCGUUUGUUGACACCAUCUGAUGUGGGAUUGAUCGGUUUUCUUUUCAUUGGAUUUGCACCUUUUUCUGUCUCUCUUUCGUUGGAACUUUCACAGUAAUGGUUGAUAUGGUAACUGUUUGAUACUUUGAUAGUUGGCUGUCAGUAGAGUGUGUGGUGACGUUCUAGGUUCGUUUAUGUUGUUAAACGUACAAACGUUUUCUCAUUAACGAAGACAGAACUUAGGCCAUUAAGGUGAAGAUUUGAUGCAAUUGGACCUGUUUCAUGUGCCAUGAAGUGUUUCCUGGAUAACAUUGGAGAAUGUGAUUCCAGUUUUAUGCCUGUUCUCAGAAAUGUGUAUAUGUUUCUCAUCUGGAUCUUAUAGACUUUGGCUUGGGAUUGAAAUUUUUCCUUUUUGUCUAUGAUUGGAUGUUAAUAGGAACGUAUACGGUAUAUUUGUGUUGUAUAAUUUUCUAAUUCUAUUGGAAGUUGGGUUAGUCUGUG